UACGUAGGGGGCAAGCGUUGUCCGGAUUUAUUGGGCGUAAAGAGCGUGUAGGCGGCUUUACAGGUCCGUUGUGAAAACUCGAGGCUCAACCUCGAGACGCCGGUGGAAACCGUAAAGCUAGAGUCCGGAAGAGGAGAGUGGAAUUCCUGAUGUAGCGGUGAAAUGCGCAGAUAUCAGGAAGAACACCCGUGGCGAAGGCGGCUCUCUGGGACGGUACUGACGCUGAGACGCGAAAGCGUGGGGAGCGAACAGG
rnacentral:rRNA from 1 species